rnacentral:tRNA from 2 species
GGUCGUAUGGUGUAGUUGGUUAUCACGUCAGUCUAACACACUGAAGGUCCUCAGUUCGAGCCUGAGUACGAUCA